AUACGGAGGGGGUUAGCGUUGUUCGGAAUUACUGGGCGUAAAGCGUACGUAGGCGGAUCGGAAAGUAAGGGGUGAAAUCCCAGGGCCCAACCCUGGAACUGCCUCUUAAACUCCCGGUCUUGAGUUCGAGAGAGGUGAGUGGAAUUCCUAGUGUAGAGGUGAAAUUCGUAGAUAUUAGGAGGAACACCAGUGGCGAAGGCGGCUCACUGGCUCGAUACUGACGCUGAGGUACGAAAGUGUGGGGAGCAAACAGGAUUAGAAACCCCAGUAGUCC
rnacentral:rRNA from 1 species